GGGCAAGAGCAAGGGCCACGAUGACAGAUUACGGCGAGGAGCAGCGCAACGAGCUGGAGGCCCUGGAGUCCAUCUACCCUGACUCCUUCACAGACAUAUGGGACUUGGGAUUCAGCUCCAGCUGAGAUUGAGAGAGCAGAAGAUUACUUGUAUUAUCAGAAAAUCCACCCAGCUUCACCAUUACUGUGACGUCUGAGGCUGGAGAAAAUGAUGAAACUGUCCAGACUACCCUCAAGUUUACAUACAGUGAAAAAUACCCAGAUGAAGCUCCCCUUUAUGAAAUAUUCUCCCAGGAAAAUCUAGAAGAUAAUGAUGUCUCAGACAUUUUAAAAUUACUAGCAUUACAGGCUGAAGAAAAUCUUGGUAUGGUGAUGAUUUUUACUCUAGUGACAGCUGUGCAAGAAAAAUUAAAUGAAAUAGUAGAUCAGAUAAAAACUAGAAGAGAAGAAGAAAAGAAACAAAAAGAAAAAGAAGCAGAAGAAGCUGAAAAGCAAUUAUUCCAUGGUACUCCAGUUACAAUUGAGAAUUUCUUAAAUUGGAAAGCCAAGUUUGAUGCAGAACUCUUGGAAAUUAAAAAGAAA
rnacentral:lncRNA from 10 species